rnacentral:rRNA from 1 species
ACUCCUACGGGAGGCAGCAGUGGGUAAUAUUGCACAAUGGGGGAAACCCUGAUGCAGCCAUGCCGCGUGUGUGAAGAAGGCCUUCGGGUUGUAAAGCACUUUCAGUAGGGAGGAAGGUAGUGUAGUUAACACCUGCAUUAUUUGACGUUACCUACAGAAGAAGCACCGGCUAACUCCGUCGCCAGCCAGCCGCCGGGUAAUACGGAGGGUGCGAGCGUUAAUCGGAAUUACUGGGCGUAAAGCGCAUGCAGGCGGCCUGUUAAGUCAGAUGUGAAAGCCCGGGGCUUAACCUCGGAAUUGCAUUUGAAACUGGCAGGCUAGAGUCUUGUAGAGGGGGGUAGAAUUUCAGGUGUAGCGGUGAAAUGCGUAGAGAUCUGAAGGAAUACCAGUGGCGAAGGCGGCCCCCUGGACAAAGACUGACGCUCAGAUGCGAAAGCGUGGGGAGCAAACAGGAUUAGAUACCCUGGUAGGAAAG